rnacentral:rRNA from 1 species
AGGACGAACGCUUGCGGCGUGCCUAAGAAAUGCAAGUCGAACGGGAGCAGCAAUGCUCUAGUGGCGAACGGUCGCGUAACACGUAGGCAACCUGCCUCGGAGUGGGGGACAACAGCCUGAAAGGGCUGCUAAUACCGCAUGUUAUUACUUUGUGGCAUCACAGAGUAAUGAAAGCUAUAUGCGCUUCGAGAUGGGCUUGCGGCCUAUCAGGUAGUUGGUGGGGUAAUGGCCUACCAAGCCGACGACGGGUAGCUGGUCUGAGAGGACGAUCAGCCGGAUUGGGACUGAGAUACGGCCCAGACUCCUACGGGGGGCAGCAAUUAGGAAUCUUGCGCAAUGGGGGAAACCCUGACGCAGCGACGCCGCGUGUGGGAUGACGGCCUUCGGGUUGUAAACCACUUUUGCCGGGGAAGAAGCAAGUGACGGUACCGGUGAAUAAGCCCGGCUAACUACGUGCCAGCAGCCGC